rnacentral:lncRNA from 1 species
UUGUGACCUCAGGUGAUCCAGCCACCUCGGCCUCCCAGGGCUCUGGAAUUACAGGUGUGACCCACCGCGCCUCUCUGUCUCUCUCCGGCUCAGUCCCUGUUUUCUCUUUCUUGGCUUCUCUCCCUCACCCCCUCUUAUCUGUGUCUGUGUUGUCUGUUUGUCUCUGUGUGUGUUUCUCUCUGUCGCUGUCUCUCUCUGUCUCUCUCUCCCCCUCUCUCUCUCUCUCUCUCUGUUUCUUCUAGUCUCUCUCUUGUAGUCUCUCUCUCUUGGUCUUU